CAGUAGCCGCGGUAAUACGUAGGUGGCAAGCGUUGUCCGGAAUUAUUGGGCGUAAAGGGCUCGCAGGCGGUUUCUUAAGUCUGAUGUGAAAGCCCCCGGCUCAACCGGGGAGGGUCAUUGGAAACUGGGAAACUUGAGUGCAGAAGAGGAGAGUGGAAUUCCACGUGUAGCGGUGAAAUGCGUAGAGAUGUGGAGGAACACCAGUGGCGAAGGCGACUCACUGGUCUGUAACUGACGCUGAGGAGCGAAAGCGUGGGGAGCGAACAGGAUUAGAUACCCCGGUAGUCCCUGUCUCUUAUAC
rnacentral:rRNA from 1 species